rnacentral:lncRNA from 1 species
UAAAUGAGGUCACGUAUGUGAGAUUUUCAGCAGAGAAUUUAUCAUAUAAUACAAGAUCAGUGAAUAUUGAUGAGGGUGAUGGAAAUGAAAAGGAUGAUGAUAAUGAUGACUUCAGAGAGGAAGAAGAUGACAGAGAAAAAAGAGAAUAUUAAAAUGGAGCAGGAGGAAUAGUUGGAGGAAAAAGAGAGUAGAGGAAAAAAUAAAAUUUAUAUUUUUGUAAAAUCUUUAUGCCCUUUAAAAUGAAUUAGAUGAAUGGAAUAGAGGAGGUAGAGGAGGGGGAAAGAAUAGAAAUUUGUGAUGAUCGGGAGCAAAUCUAAGACAAUAGAAGAAAAAACGGGGAAAAGAUUGAACUUGUCAGUUUUCAGGGGACUGUUGAUGGAUAAAAUAUCAGAUUUAAAUGAUUGCAUAACGAGGU